rnacentral:tRNA from 1 species
GCCCAGUUGGAGAAAUUGGUAGACUCGCCAUCUUGAGGGGGUGGUGCUUCACGGCGUGCUGGUUCGAAUCCAGUACUGGGCA